rnacentral:rRNA from 1 species
UAUAUGCUUGUCUCAAAGAUUAAGCCAUGCAUGUCUAAGUCCACUACGAAUUAAAAGUGAAACCGCAAAAGGCUCAUUAUAUCAGUUAUGGUUCCUUAGAUCGUUAACAGUUACUUGGAUAACUGUGGUAAUUCUAGAGCUAAUACAUGCAAUUAAAACAUGAACCUUAUGGGACAUGUGCUUUUAUUAGGCUAAAACCAAGCGAUCGCAAGAUCGUUAUAUUGGUUGAACUCUAGAUAACAUGCAGAUCGUAUGGUCUUGUACCGACGACAGAUCUUUCAAAUGUCUGCCCUAUCAACUUUUGAUGGUAGUAUCUAGGACUACCAUGGUUGCAACGGGUAACGGGGAAUCAGGGUUCGAUUCCGGAGAGGGAGCCUGAGAAACGGCUACCACAUCUAAGGAAGGCAGCAGGCGCGUAAAUUACCCACUCCCAGCUCGGGGAGGUAGUGACGAAAAAUAACAAUACAGGACUCAUAUCCGAGGCCCUGUAAUUGGAAUGAGUACACUUUAAAUCCUUUAACAAGGACCAAUUGGAGGGCAAGUCUGGUGCCAGCAGCCGCGGUAAUUCCAGCUCCAAUAGCGUAUAUUAAAGUUGUUGCGGUUAAAACGUUCGUAGUUGAACUUGUGCUUCAUACGGGUAGUACAACUUACAAUUGUGGUUAGUACUAUACCUUUAUGUAUGUAAGCGUAUUACCGGUGGAGUUCUUAUAUGUGAUUAAAUACUUGUAUUUUUUCAUAUGUUCCUCCUAUUUAAAAACCUGCACUAGUGCUCUUAAACGAGUGUUAUUGUGGGCCGGUAUGCUCUCCUGGAUGCUCUCCACCGUCAAUCCGAACCCCAUCCUCAACACACCCAGGAACAUUGAUGAAGCUAUCGGGAAUCUCACCAGGCAGAUGCAAAACGCUGCGGAAUUCGCAAGCCCACCGCCACCAAAGACUGCGAGAACACCGCCACACAGCGCAUGGUGAGAAGCAGCUUCCGCAGACUAGGAGAAGUGGACACGGAAGAGCUCUCAUAUGCUAUCAGCCGCUACGAUGAGCUGGUGUUGGCGCUAAUGCUCCGGUGCGGAGAGCUGGAGACGCGGCUUGCUAUGCCGCCACCGCCGCCGCCGUCGUUGAAUCUGUUGAAAAAUACGGCCGCCAAUGCUCCCCAGAUGCAGCAGGUUGCACCCAUCGCUGCCCCGCGGACUACCAAGGUCCGCGAGACGUGGUCAGCGGUGGUGAAGUGCGACGACCCUGCGCUAUCGGGGAAAGACAUAGCGGAAAAGGUGCGAACGAUGGUUGCACUCUCUCUCGGAGUCAGA